rnacentral:lncRNA from 10 species
CCGGUCCUGACACUACACCAUAUAUGGAGGCUACAGUGGGAACUUGGACUUUGCAGAACAUCCCCUAUUCACAGUUUCCUCAACUGUACAUGGAGUCCCACUAUAAAACUGUGCCUGUCUCAAAGGGGUGUGAUGAUGGGUUAAAUUAGAAAGUCCAGACAAGGCACAAAACGCUGCCUGGUACAUGGUAGGUCCUCAUUUCAUGUUAGAAUGCAGCGAGAAAUACAGUAAGGUAAACAGGAAGUCAGGAAACGGGGUGGAAUGUGGUGGGCAGAGAGAAGUCCCCAUCGAAUGUCUUCUCUGUCCAUAGGAAGCGAGGCCACCUGCCAAGGUGUGAGAAGAGCAGAAGAGGCUUACAUGGAUGAUGGGAAGCUCGGACAGUGAAUGAAUUAGGAACAUGGAGGGUCACCAAGGAGGUGUGGGGUUGUCUGAAGCAGAGGGAGACUGGGCAGCCACACCCAAGGACUCGAAAGCGGCUCUGUGUGAUGAUUCCACAAUCUGUCUCCAGCCAAACUCCUCUCUGUGCUCGGAUCCAGCAGUCCAACUUCCUACUCAGCAUCUCCUCCAAAAUACCCCAAAGGCAACUUCACCUUGACAUUUCUACACCAGAAACUGACCGGGCGUGGUGGCUCAUGCCUGUAAUUCCAGCACUUUAGGAGGCCAAGGCAGGAGGAUUACUCGAGCCCAGGAAUUCAAGACCAGCCUGGGCAACAUAGCAAGACCCCAUCUCUAAAAAAAAAAAAAAAAUUAAAAACUAGCUGGAUAUGGUGGUGCAUGCCCAUAGUCUCAGCUACUCAGGAGGCUGAAGUGGGAGGAUCACGUGUCCCCAGGAGUUCAAGGCUGCAGUGAGUUAUGGUCAUACCACUGCACUCAGCCUGGGUGACAGAGCAAGACCCUGUCUCUAAAAAAUAAUGGUAAUAAAAUAAAUUGUAAAAAUAAAAAAAAACAACAGAAACUAUCAGCAAUCCAUCUCCUCCUCCAGGGUGUUCUACUUGGGUGAAUAUGACUAUAUUAGUCUGUUCUCUCACUGUUAAUAAAGACAUAGCCCAGACUGGGUAAUUUAUAAAGAAAUAGAGGUUUAAUGGACUCACUGUUGCACAUGGCUGGGGAGGCCUCACAAUCAUGGUGGAAGGCAAAGGAAAAGCAAAGGCACAUCUUACAUGGUGGCAGACAAGACAGCGUGUACAGGGGAACUGCCCUUUAUUAAACCAUCAGAUCUCAUCAGACUUAUUCAUAUAACAAGAACAGCAUGGGAAAGACCCACCCUGAUAAUUCAAUUACCUCUACUAGGUCCCUGCCAUGAUAUGUGGGGAUUAUGGGAGCUAAUGAGAUUUGGGUGGGGACACAGCCAAACCAUAUCAUAUGCUGGCACCAUGCUUCCUAUACAGCUUGCAGAAUCAUGAGCCAAAUAAACCUCUUUUCCUUAUAAAUUACCCAGCUUCAGGUGUUCCUUUAUAGCAAUACAAAUGGACUAAUACAGGCAAAGUUCAUCGGGGACCAAAAAAAUUAACCCAGGCUCUCCUCCCUCUUCCUCAUUCCUGCCCCCCAUCCCCUGAUCCAGCCAGUCACAAAGCCUUGCAUAUUCCCUGGAUAUCUGCCUCCCUCCUCCCCAGGCGAGGAUGGGCCUGAGUACCUCGAAGCUGAAAUAGAGCAGAUCCGGCAGGGGGCCGGGGGAAUAUGGGAAGACCAUCUCUUCAUCAAAGCAGUGGGGAGCCACAGGCUGGAAUGGUACAUUUGGGUUUCUGUGUUUAAUCUGGACUGAAAUGUAUUCCAGAAAGGUAAUUUCCUCAUUUAUGGAGGAAAAUUAAGUUUUAAAAAUCACAACGUAAAAGCUGCACAUAGCUGAUCAAGCACCUUUAAAAGUUGGCUCAAUUUGUGAAGCUUAUUGAACUUAAAUUCUCAAGCAUGUGAGCAUAACUACUUUAAUAACUGGUUAAUUACUAACAUGUAAUUAACAUGCUUCAUCUAUGACUGUUAAACACGCUUGUGGAAAACGUCACUGAGGCUCACUAGGGAGAGCUCAGGUACCCUGGCUACCUAGAGGGAGGUUCCUGAAGUUCAAGACAAAGCGCCAGAGAGAAACAGCAUCUUCAAGUUUAGUGGUUUUUGGUUUUUGUUGUUGUUGUUCUUA